rnacentral:tRNA from 3 species
GGAGAGAUGGCAGAGUGGUCGAUCGCGCUAGCUUGGAAAGUUAGUGUAGGGGCAACCCUACCGUGGGUUCGAAUCCCACUCUCUCCGCCA